GGGAAAAACUUCAUUCAGAAGUCACACCUUACUAGUCAUCAGAGAGUGCACGCAGGAGAGAGACCCUUUAAAUCAGAGGUCUCAGACUCACGGCCUGUGGGCCAUCAACAGCCCAAGCAGUUCCACAGUCCAGCCCCUGCAUGGCUGCCAGCACGUGAGCCCCUGCAACCUUGGAGGAACCCUCAAAUACCGGACUGUCUGGUUCAAAACCGACACCUGGCAGCCCUAAGAGCUUCCUGACUGGGAAGGGACACGCCCUCAACAGCAGACGCUCCCUGCUCCAGACAAUGAGCUUGCAGGUAGGAAAGGAAACGUAAGGAGAAGGGCAAGACUAAGUACAUGGCUGAGACAGGAGGAGAGUUUGCAGGUGCAGUCUCCCAGCUGAGAGGUUUGAUUAUAGCAGCUGGGUUUUCCUGCAGCUUCCUGUGAGGAAACUCAGCAAUCUCCUCUAGCUUCCUGGGCUGAUGGAGGGUGGGGGUAGAUUGCAUGGGGGAAAUAGGGGAGUUUGUUUGGGGUAUCUUAACUUACUCCCAUCUGGGCUGCAGAUAGCAAGAGUCAAACCUUGUCUGUCUCAGCCCAACAGCCCUAGCUGGGCUGCAGACAGGACUCUCCUGGCCUGGGACAGGCUGUAUGGGGUGGUGCCAAAAUUUCAGGUGUGUUAAAAGCUUUUAGGCUGCUUUUGAAUACUGGAACAAAAGGCCUAGCUCAUGACAUUUGCAUGAUUACAUUUCAAACAAAGUUUACAUAGGUGUUAAUGGAUUACCAUCAGAAAAGAAAGGAUUCUUUUAACAUAUUUUUUGUAGUGUUGUAAAUUAAUGCAAACUCUGAUCUUAAUGAUUUUUUU